rnacentral:tRNA from 2 species
GCCGGGGUGGUGGAAUUGGUAGACACAGGGGAUUCAAAAUCCCCCGCUGGCAACAGCUUGUCGGUUCGAGUCCGACCCUCGGUACCA